GAUGAACGCUGGCGGCGUGCCUAAUACAUGCAAGUCGAGCGAACAGACGAGGAGCUUGCUCCUCUGACGUUAGCGGCGGACGGGUGAGUAACACGUGGAUAACCUACCUAUAAGACUGGGAUAACUUCGGGAAACCGGAGCUAAUACCGGAUAAUAUAUUGAACCGCAUGGUUCAGUAGUGAAAGACGGUUUUGCUGUCACUUAUAGAUGGAUCCGCGCCGCAUUAGCUAGUUGGUAAGGUAACGGCUUACCAAGGCAACGAUGCGUAGCCGACCUGAGAGGGUGAUCGGCCACACUGGAACUGAGACACGGUCCAGACUCCUACGGGAGGCAGCAGUAGGGAAUCUUCCGCAAUGGGCGAAAGCUUGACGGAGCAACGCCGCGUGAGUGAUGAAGGUCUUCGGAUCGUAAAACUCUGUUAUUAGGGAAGAACAAAUGUGUAAGUAACUAUGCACGUCUUGACGGUACCUAAUCAGAAAGCUACGGCUAACUACGUG
rnacentral:rRNA from 1 species